CAGAAAAUAGUUUAAUAGAAAAUGCCAGCUUUGGGUGCUGGGGAUAGAGGUUUAAGUCCUUUUUUUCUGA
rnacentral:tRNA from 1 species